GUAAUGAAGUCAUAAUGAGGUCUGACGUCAUGACAGUUGCUCCGCCCUGAUUGAUCCAUAUAAGGAAAUGGUGCUCAAAAUAACUAUUUACCGAUAUUUGCAAGAAUUUGUAAUAAACAGCAAUAUCUUCAUGUUUAAAUAGAAAAAAAAUAUUGAUUUUCUUGUACAUAAAAUAGCAUGUCUUUAAAUUAAUUCUCUUUUUAAUGUGUCGUUUGUCUGCAUUCGGCUUCAGCCAAGCGCUUGCACUCGGUGACACGGAAUGUUGUUUACAUCUAAAAACGUGGCGACAUCAGCUGAGAUUUGCAGUGGAUUUAAAUGCAAUAACCACACAAUCUUUAAAGAAAAUAGGGAUAAAAUAAGAGACAAGGCAUUACUUCUCCCUUUUGCGAGAGUAUGAGGACAUUAUUUCGGAAAAUAGCAGAAAACUGAGACGAUUGCACCAGCUCCGCAGAUCCAUCACUGCACUGCAAUUCCAGGACAGCUGUCAGGUGUUUUGGGCUUAAAGAAUGAAUAAAUAAAAAAUGCAUCAUUUCUCCACAGGGCCUAGCUAUUUCCAAAUGUUGGACAAAUUGAUUCAUUCAGACAGCAAGUUAAUCCACAAUUCAAGGAAAAUGAAUUCAUUUUAUCCACAAGAACAUGAAGUGAUGGAAAUAAUUUGCACCUGCCCAGCA